rnacentral:lncRNA from 1 species
GAAAGGAAAGGAAAUCCCUAACUAGCACACAUUUAGUUGUAUGGAAAGAUGAUAGUCUCUGCAUCUAACAGAGUAUCCUGAGAUCAAGGGGGUCCUCAUCCUUCCUUCUCCACUCCUUCCUUUUCUUCCUGACUCAUCCUGACAACCAGCUUCUCCACUUGAAGGCAGUCUCAGGACGUUUACUUUCUGAUGGUGGCAUGACAGAGAGCCUCCAGUUUCUUCAGCAGCAGCUCGUGGUUCUGAGAUGCACACAGAAGCGAUGUGGGUGGUUCUUUAGGCUGCUACAUCGCUGGUGGAACAUAUCACAAGCAGCCAUUUCAGACCUCACACUGCAGCUGCCAGAACCUGGGCUGCAGGGCUUGCAGGCCACCAAGCAAGGCAGAGCCACUGCAAUACAAAAUGCCUUAACACUUCUUAGGAGAGACAGCAACAGCUGGUGGAAUUCUAAAGCUACUCUCUGAAUUAGAAUGAAAUCGUGUAGCCAGAUCAGUCCCUAAAUAUCUUUAAUUACCCAGCAUUCUAGCCCUGUGGAAUGAUCAUCCCUGCACAUGCUAAAUUGACAUGGGGCCCAAACUUGGGCCCCAAACUCUAAAAAAGAGUGACGUUUUUUUUUUUUUUUUUUUUUUUUUUUUUUUUUUUUUGCUUUGCCAGUUCCUGAAUAAAGGAACCACUGUCCAUCACCCUGAAAGUGGGGGUUGGGUCUGAUGAACCACGGCAAGUUAAAGGAGCAACCUCAAUGUGCAACCUCUUUGGGACCCAACGGCUGUCUCAGAGCGAGCCAUUGCUUCUUUAAUGUUCUGUGUCUAGUGUAACUAGGAGCACAUUGACUGUUGCAAAUUGAGAUCUUUCUUUGAAGUUUAAAUAUGCCACUUUAACUGUGUUCUCAUCUUCUACAUCCCACUGAAUGAAUAACCCAAAUUACACAGAACAGCAGCAAAUUGGCUCAUCACAGCCCUGUUAUAAUUUUAAAAGAAUAAAGAUCUGAAAAACCAGAGAGUCUGAAGGAACUAGUGACGCCUGCUAAAGAGUUGACAGGUCUUUCCUCAGAAGGACGUGGAUUCGAAAUUCACCCUUGGUUUGUAGAGAUCAAGAGUCAUUUACAUUUUGUGUCAUGUUUCCAUGUAUCCUUAGUAUAGUAUUCCUAUUAGGGAUACUGACAGCUCUGCCUUUGCCAUCCCUGAUGUCUCCUCCGGGAGCACAAGAUACACCCAGCGGCAUGUGGGCUGUAGAUCAUUUCCUCCCAUAUAAAAGUGAUCUUUGCAAACUGAAGUCCAAGGCAUCAGAGAAUACCUGGCUUUUCCACGGUUAGCUGCCUGCCUCUCUUUUAGCUCCCCAACUCAGAAGGAAACAUACAGCAGCUCAUUGCCUGGCUGAUGAGCUUGGGGCAGACAGAACUUGAAAAACAUGUAUGCAUACCCCCAGGAAGGGCACUUUCCAAACAGCAUAAUUCUCUCUGUUUUAACAGAGUACCCCUUUGUGUUAAUAAAACACCAGGUCACAAGUCAAAGUUUGAUUCCAUUAUUGAGGGUUAUCUUUGAACUCUGAAUACUGCUGGUACAAUUUUCCAGAUGUCAGACUCUAGGCCUCCCAUUCAAGUUAACAGAAGGAUAACUAGCUAAAUAGUAAUAGCUUCUGUAAUCUCUCUCUGGUUAGAUUAAUACUGAUAGUUUCAAUCCACAUACCACUUCAGCCAGUCAACCAACAGACUCCCAGCAUUUAAGAUAGAUAGAUGAUAGAUAGAUAGAUAGAUAGAUAGAUAGAUAUGGUGUUAGUGUUUCAUAGGAUUCAGUGAAAAAGUACACCAUCGAUCAGAGAUUUGGGAUGAUUUUGAGACACGAAUAAGCAUCAACAUCUUUAUAAGGAAACUGAGUUCCAUCUUAGAAGAAGUAAAAGCUGGUGUUGAUAAAAGACUUAUGUAGAGUACCUCCCACAGGUUGCAAAUG